rnacentral:rRNA from 1 species
CCUACGGGAGGCAGCAGUGGGGAAUAUUGCACAAUGGGGGAAACCCUGAUGCAGCGACGCCGCGUGAGUGAAGAAGUAUCUCGGUACGUAAAGCUCUAUCAGCAGGAAAGAAAAUGACGGUACCUGACUAAGAAGCCCCGGCUAACUACGUGCCAGCAGCCGCGGUAAUACGUAGGGGGCAAGCGUUAUCCGGAUUUACUGGGUGUAAAGGGAGCGUAGACGGCGCUGCAAGUCCGGAGUGAAAGCCCAUGGCUGAACCAUGGUACUGCUCUGGAAACUGUAGAGCGUGAGUGCGGGAGGGGCAGGCGGAAUUCCUAGUGUAGCGGUGAAAUGCGUAGAUAUUAGGAGGAACACCGGCGGCGAAGGCGGCCUGCUGGACCGUAACUGACGUUGAGGCUUGAAAGCGUGGGGAGCAAACAGGAUUAGAUACCCCAGUAGUC